rnacentral:rRNA from 1 species
CGCGGCCUAUCAGCUUGUUGGUGGGGUAACGGCCCACCAAGGCGACGACGGGUAGCCGGCCUGAGAGGGCGACCGGCCACACUGGGACUGAGACACGGCCCAGACUCCUACGGGAGGCAGCAGUGGGGAAUAUUGCACAAUGGGCGAAAGCCUGAUGCAGCGACGCCGCGUGAGGGAUGACGGCCUUCGGGUUGUAAGCCUCUUUCAGCAGGGAAGAAGCGAAAGUGACGGUACCUGCAGAAGAAGCGCCGGCUAACUACGUGCCAGCAGCCGCGGUAAUACGUAGGGCGCAAGCGUUGUCCGGAAUUAUUGGGCGUAAAGAGCUCGUAGGCGGCUUGUCACGUCGGAUGUGAAAGCCCGAGGCUUAACCUCGGGUCUGCAUUCGAUACGGGCUAGCUAGAGUGUGGUAGGGGAGAUCGGAAUUCCUGGUGUAGCGGUGAAAUGCGCAGAUAUCAGGAGGAACACCGGUGGCGAAGGCGGAUCUCUGGGCCAUUACUGACGCUGAGGAGCGAAAGCGUGGGGAGCGAACAGGAUUAGAUACCCUGGUAGUCCACGCCGUAAACGUUGGGAACUAGGUGUUGGCGACAUUCCACGUCGUCGGUGCCGCAGCUAACGCAUUAAGUUCCCCGCCUGGGGAGUACGG